GCAAGUCGAGCGGAAACGAUCCUAGCUUGCUAGGAGGCGUCGAGCGGCGGACGGGUGAGUAACACGUGAGAAUCUGCCCAUUAGAGGGGGAUAACCUGGGGAAACCCAGGCUAAUACCGCAUAAUCCCUACGGGGGAAAGCAGGGGAUCUUCGGACCUUGUGCUGAUGGAUGAGCUCGCGUCGGAUUAGCUUGUUGGUGAGGUAAUGGCUCACCAAGGCGACGAUCCGUAGCUGGUCUUAGAGGAUGAUCAGCCACACCGGGACUGAGACACGGCCCGGACUCCUACGGGAGGCAGCAGUGGGGAAUCUUGGACAAUGGGGGCAACCCUGAUCCAGCCAUGCCGCGUGUGUGAAGAAGGCCUUCGGGUUGUAAAGCACUUUCAGUAGGGAGGAAGGCUUAUCCUUAAUACGGAUGAGUACUUGACGUUACCUACAGAAGAAGCACCGGCUAAUUUCGUGCCAGCAGCCGCGGUAAUACGAAAGGUGCGAGCGUUAAUCGGAAUUACUGGGCGUAAAGCGCGCGUAGGCGGUUUGCUAAGUCAGAUGUGAAAGCCCCGGGCUCAACCUGGGAACUGCAUUUGAAACUG
rnacentral:rRNA from 1 species